rnacentral:rRNA from 1 species
CUACGGGCUGCAGCAGUGGGGAAUAUUGCACAAUGGAGGAAACUCUGAUGCAGCAACGCCGCGUGGAGGAUGACACUUUUCGGAGCGUAAACUCCUUUUAUAUAGGAAGAAGAUGACGGUACUAUAUGAAUAAGCGCCGGCUAACUCCGUGCCAACAGCCGCGGUAAUACGGAGGGCGCAAGCGUUACUCGGAAUCACUGGGCGUAAAGAGCGUGUAGGCGGAUUAAAAAGUCAGAAGUGAAAUCCUAUAGCUUAACUAUAGAACUGCUUCUGAAACUCUUAAUCUAGAAUAUGGGAGAGGUAGAUGGAAUUUCUGGUGUAGGGGUAAGAUCCGUAGAGAUCAGAAGGAAUACCGAUUGCGAAGGCGAUCUACUAGAACAUUAUUGACGCUGAGACGCGAAAGCGUGGGGAGCAAACAGGAUUAGAUACCCGUGUAGUC